rnacentral:rRNA from 1 species
AUGGGAGACUUCAAUGAAGCUCUCUGGCAACGCGAGCACUUGUCAGCUACCCCUCGGCCUGCUUGCCAGAUUGCAGCCUUCCGUGACAUCGUCCAAGACUGUGAGCUCCAUGACCUUGGGUUUUCAGGAGCACCAUUCACAUAUGAUAACAAGCGAAAAGGAAGAGCGAAUGUCAAAGUUAGGUUGGACCGAGCCCUGGCCGACGACCGCUGGAGGGACUUAUUCUCUGAUGCACGUGUGGUACACCUCGUGUCCCCUUGUUCUGAUCAUCUAUUGAUCAUAAUUGAGCUGCAGAAAGAAGAGCGCCCACCAAGCCGUGGCCGCACCAACCGAUAUGAAAUAUUAUGGGAACGAGCAGGCGAAUUUCCAGAGAUCAUCCAGAGGGCUUGGGAUGCUACCCAAACAAGCGGGAAUCUGGCUUUGGUAACAGCUGGACUAAACAAAAUCAUGGAGGAGCUACAUGGCUGGAGCCGGCGGCGGUUUGGUAAUAUCAUGCGAGAGGUGGAGCGUACACGACGUAAACUUGAGCAACUAGUGCAAUCAAAUGGUGACCAAAGCGAAAUCCACCGACUAUCUGAUAGCAUGGACGAGUUGCUCUAUAAAGAGGAGCUUCUUUGGCUGCAACGCUCAUGUGUUAAUUGGCUCAAAGACGGUGACAGAAACACUAAGUUUUUCCAUAGCCAAUCUGUUUGGAGAGCCCAAAAGAACAAGAUAAAAAAGUUGAAGGACGACACGGGGGUAUGGCAGAGCAACCCCUCGGUCAUGGAACUGAUUGCAUCUUCAUUCUUCAAAGAGUUGUUCACCCGCGACCCAUCUCUAAAUGCGGAUGAAAUUCUCGACUUGGUAGAGCAGAAAGUGUCCGUCCUAUCAGUCUAA